rnacentral:lncRNA from 1 species
CAAAGUCACCUCCCCAUAUCUGUUCCAUUCCCUUCUCUCCAAUUCUAUGCCCAAACACUAUUAUGGCCACAUCAUCUUCUGUCUGGGUUACAGCAAAAUCCCUCUAUUGUUCCCCAGUGUCCAGCCAGGCUCCUUCCCACAUCCUCCCCAAACUGCAGUCCUCUGUAAAAGCUAGGUAUUUAAUGGCACCACUUUUCUGGUCAAAGUCCCCAGAAGUUUUGUUCACCUGUGUGUCUCUGAAACCUGGCACGGAAUGAACAAUCUCCAAACAUUUAGCUACAUGAAUGCAUGAAUUUCUUGACACACCCUAAUCCAAGAGACAUCCAGAAGUCUGUGACAGAGGUGAACUGGGGACAUCUAGACUCCAAAGUUGGGUGCCGCCUCUGAGUGAAGAGAUGGAAGAGUUAUUCUAACUGAGAAAACAUGGCCGGAUAAGUAAUUUGGGCUUCCUUCUGAGAAAUUAUAUGUCUUAUGGGGACUGUUCUACAGGGUUCCUGGGAAGGAAACACAACCACGAAAUGUAACAUGGUGCUUCCCCAGCUGUGUGGGCAAAGGUGUGCUGAGUGGUUCCAUGGAAUAAGAGACGCCUGCACCAGCCAGUUCCACAGCCACUGCCAUCAAGUCAAGGAUCCCCGUUUUCCACUCAGUCGAUCCCUCUUAAUUGGCAUUCAGUGCAUCCAGUUUUCAGCUCCUUUGGUGGACUCUCUUGCGAAUGUGUCUGUUUUAACGCUCCUCUUUUUGCUCCUCUUUUUGUGAGAUGCCGUGGAGAGGCCAACGGGACACAUACGAGCAUCAUCUAGUGAGGGUCAUCCCUGAGCAGAGGGAACCUCAGGGAGCUCUGGGCUCUGAGAAUGGAGAAAGGCAGUGCAGGACUGGGCAGGAAGAUACGGCAGGAGUAGGGUCAGGAUAAGGUGAUGUCACAGAUGAGCCUGAGGGUAGUACAGGUGUGUUUGCCCCUCAGCCACAAGAUCCUGGAACCCACAGCAGACAUCAAAGUUCAGGAUGACAAUAAGAUCAGCCUCACAACAGAUCUGACGGGGACAAAUUCAAGAUUUUAGAGGAACACCUAAGGAAAAAGUCAUCAGGCCGUUCGAAGAACAAGACUGGAGUCCCAGAGGGAGGCUACUCUUGAAAUCAUUGACUUGAGAGUUGAGGACUAGUUGCCUCUAUACACCAAGCCUGAUGACCUGAGUUUGACCCCAGGAUCCCACAUGGUAGAAGGAGAGAGUAUAAGUUGUCCUCUGACCUCCACAUGAACGCUAUGACACGCCAACUCCUGACACAUGCCCAAUGAAUAAAUCUAAUUAAAAUGUGUUUAAAAAUGAGAUA